rnacentral:rRNA from 1 species
UACGUAGGGUGCAAGCGUUGUCCGGAAUUAUUGGGCGUAAAGAGCUCGUAGGCGGUCUGUCGCGUCGGCUGUGAAAACCCGAGGCUCAACCUCGGGCCUGCAGUCGAUACGGGCAAACUAGAGUACUGCAGGGGAGACUGGAAUUCCUGGUGUAGCGGUGAAAUGCGCAGAUAUUAGGAGGAACACCGGUGGCGAAGGCGGGUCUCUGGGCAGUAACUGACGCUGAGGAGCGAAAGCGUGGGGAGCGAACGGG